UACGGAGGGUGCAAGCGUUAAUCGGAAUUACUGGGCGUAAAGCGUGCGUAGGUGGUUCGUUAAGUCCGUUGUGAAAGCCCCGAGCUCAACUUGGGAAUUGCAGUGGAUACUGGCGAGCUAGAGUGCGGUAGAGGAAGGUGGAAUUCCCGGUGUAGCGGUGAAAUGCGUAGAGAUCGGGAGGAACACCAGUGGCGAAGGCGGCCUUCUGGACCAGCACUGACACUCAAGCACGAAAGCGUGGGGAGCAAACGGGG
rnacentral:rRNA from 1 species